rnacentral:rRNA from 1 species
AGUGAACGCUGGCGGUAUGCCUAACACAUGCAAGUCGAACGGCAGCACAGUAAUAGCUUGCUCUUACGGGUGGCGAGUGGCGGACGGGUGAGGAAUACAUCGUAAUCUACUUUUUCGUGGGGGAUAACGUAGGGAAACUUACGCUAAUACCGCAUACGACCUACGGGUGAAAGCAGGGGAUAUUCGGACCUUGCGCGCAUGAAUGAGCCGAUCUCCGAUUAGCUAGUUGGCGGGGUAAAUGCCCACCAAGGCGACGAUCCCUAGCUGGUCCGAGAGCAUGAUGCGCCACACAGGAACUGACAGACGGCCCUGAGUCCUACGGGAGGCAGCAGUGGGGAAUGUUGGAAACAGGGCGGAAGCCUGAUCAAGACACACCGGGUGGGUGAAGCAACCCUUCGUGUUGUAAAGCCCUUUUGUUGGGAAAGACAAGGAGCAGGUUAAAACCACGCUGUUCUGCCGGAACCCAAAGAAAAAGCACCGGCUACCAUCGG